UUCCUUCGGGGAUGGAUUAGUGGCGAACGGGUGAGGAACACGUGAAGAAUCUGCCCUCCACUUUGGGAUAACUCCGGGAAACCGGGGCUAAUACCGAAUAUUGAAACAUAGACGGCAUCGUCGAGUUUUGAAAGAAUUUCGGUGGAGGAUGACUUCGCGGCCUAUCAGCUUGUUGGUGAGGUAAUGGCUCACCAAGGCGACGACGGGUAGCCGGCCUGAGAGGGCGACCGGCCACACUGGGACUGAGACACGGCCCAGACUCCUACGGGAGGCAGCAGUGGGGAAUAUUGGGCAAUGGACGCAAGUCUGACCCAGCGACGCCGCGUGCGGGAUGAAGGCCUUCGGGUUGUAAACCGCUUUCAGCAGGGAAGAAGCGAAAGUAACGGUACCUGCAAAAGAAGCACCGGCUAACUAUGUGCCAGCAGCCGCGGUAAUACAUAGGGUGCAAGCGUUGUCCGGAAUUAUUGGGCGUAAAGAGCUCGUAGGUCGUUAGUUACGUCGGAUGUGAAAUUUUGGGGCUCAACCCCAAACCUGCAUUCGAUACGGGCUAACUAGAGUUUGGUAGGGGAGACUGGAAUUCCUGGUGUAGCGGUGGAAUGCGCAGAUAUCAGGAGGAACACCGAUGGCGAAGGCAGGUCUCUGGGCCAAUACUGACACUGAGGAGCGAA
rnacentral:rRNA from 1 species